GAUGAACGCUGGCGGCGUGCCUAAUACAUGCAAGUCGAGCGAACAGACGAGGAGCUUGCUCCUCUGACGUUAGCGGCGGACGGGUGAGUAACACGUGGAUAACCUACCUAUAAGACUGGGAUAACUUCGGGAAACCGGAGCUAAUACCGGAUAAUAUAUUGAACCGCAUGGUUCAAUAGUGAAAGACGGUUUUGCUGUCACUUAUAGAUGGAUCCGCGCCGCAUUAGCUAGUUGGUAAGGUAACGGCUUACCAAGGCAACGAUGCGUAGCCGACCUGAGAGGGUGAUCGGCAACACUGGAACUGAGACACGGUCCAGACUCCUACGGGAGGCAGCAGUAGGGAAUCUUCGGCAAUGGGCGAAAGCCUGACGGAGCAACGCCGCGUGAGUGAUGAAGGUCUUCGGAUCGUAAAACUCUGUUAUUAGGGAAGAACAAAUGUGUAAGUAACUAUGCACGUCUUGACGGUACCUAAUCAGAAAGCCACGGCUAACUACGUG
rnacentral:rRNA from 1 species